rnacentral:rRNA from 1 species
GACGAACGCUGGCGGCGUGCUUAACACAUGCAAGUCGAACGAAGUCGCGAACGGGUGAGUAACGCGUAAUCAACCUGCCCUUCAGAGGGGGACAACAGUUGGAAACGACUGCUAAUACCGCAUACUGAAGGUGGGGAUUGCGUCUGAUUGGCUCGUUGGAGGGGUAACGGCCCACCAAGGCGAUGAUCAGUAGCCGGGCCUGGGGGAUGAACGGCCACAUUUGGACUGGGAAACGGCCCAGACUCCUACGGGGGGGAACAGGUGGGAAUCUUCCGCAAUGGGCGAAAGUCCGACGGAGCAACGCCGCGUGAGAGAUGACAGCCUUCGGGUUGGAAAGCUCUGUUAGGCGGGGCGCGGUACCGGAAGAGAAAGCCACGGCUAACUACGUGCCAGCAGCCGCGGUAAUAC